rnacentral:tRNA from 1 species
GGGUGAUUAGCUCAGUUGGUAGAGCAUCUCCUUUACACGGAUCAGUUGGUAGAGCAGUUGACUUUUAAUCAAUUGGUCGCAGGUUCGAAUCCUGCACGACCCACCA